rnacentral:rRNA from 1 species
GAUGAACGCUGGCGGCGUGCUUAACACAUGCAAGUCGAACGAAGCACCUAGGAAAGAUUCUUCGGAUGAAAGCCUUUGUGACUGAGUGGCGGACGGGUGAGUAACGCGUGGGUAACCUACCUCAUACAGGGGGAUAACAGUUGGAAACGACCGCUAAUACCGCAUAAGCCAACAGAACCGCAUGGUUUAGUUGGAAAAGAUUUAUUGGUAUGAGAUGGACCCGCGUCUGAUUAGCCAGUUGGCAGGGUAACGGCCUACCAAAGCGACGAUCAGUAGCCGGCCUGAGAGGGUGAACGGCCACAUUGGGACUGAGACACGGCCCAA